rnacentral:rRNA from 1 species
GUCCACGCCCUAAACGAUGCGAACUGGAUGUUGGGUGCAAUUUGGCACGCAGUAUCGAAGCUAACGCGUUAAGUUCGCCGCCUGGGGAGUACGGUCGCAAGACUGAAACUCAAAGGAAUUGACGGGGGCCCGCACAAGCGGUGGAGUAUGUGGUUUAAUUCGAUGCAACGCGAAGAACCUUACCUGGCCUUGACAUGUCGAGAACUUUCCAGAGAUGGAUUGGUGCCUUCGGGAACUCGAACACAGGUGCUGCAUGGCU